rnacentral:sRNA from 2 species
AUGUAAACAACGCUGAAUUUUUCCGAAUGGAAAAAGCGGGGGAACCAACGCGGCCGAAAUCUGCAUACGCUUAUGUAUGCCGGUUUUAUCGCAAGGGGUGAAUCCGGGUUUACCCGGUAGGGCUUCCUCUCUAGCCCGAAUCCGACAGCUAACCUCGCAAGCGAACAAAGGAGAGAUG